rnacentral:lncRNA from 1 species
UUUGAUUCUCAAAUGUUCUUUUGAGGUCACUACAAAAUCUUCUCAUGGUUGCAGACUAUCUCCUAAAAGCCUAUUGGGCAUAGCCUUCGAUCAAUAGGGAUGAAGAUCUUCAUCUGUUAUCUUCAUCCAUCCAUACUUUACCUUCAUCCCUCCAAAUAAGCUUCUUAAUAGUUUGAAUCUUCAACUUUGAGCUCCAAUCUUCUCUUAUAACUUUAUUCUAAAUAUCUAAAUCUUACAUAAUUUAAACACUAUAAUAAAUAUAAAUAAACCUCAAAAUAAUUUUUUCACAUCAAAAAGUAUGUGACUACAAAAAGUCCAAGUCAUGACCUCAUUUUGAUUAUGGGUAUUCAUUUAGAACUUCAUCUCUUAGUCCAUCUUAGACUCAUGAGCUUUACUGAAACAUAUUAGCAAAUAAAGAAGGAAAUGAAGGGUGGAUAGAGCCUGCUUAUGAAUCCAAAUUCAAAGAAAGCAUUAGGGGUCAACUAUACUGAAGAGAGUAUAAUUUUAUACCUCACCAAAUUAAUGGAGUGAGUAUAAUUUUAUACCUCACCAAAUUAAUGGAGUGGCUAAGUUCAAUGUACAUUAAGUCAAAAUCCAAACAUAAGAGAGUCAAAAAAUCAAUCAUAACUUUAUAAUUCUAAAUUCUAAAUCUUCAACUUUUAAUUCCUAAAUCUUAAAUCCUAAAUUUUUAGCCUUUGAUUUUAAGCUCUAAAUAUAAAUUCUAAAUCCUAAAUAUUUAAUCCUAAAAUUCUAAAUUCUAAACUCUAAAUCUGAUGUAAUUUUUUAUAAUAGAAUUUAAAAAUCAAGAAAGUAAUUUUUACAAAAAUCUUCAAAUUUUAUUUUAAUAAUUACUAAUGAAUUAAAAAUAUAUUUCUAAAUAUUUUUUAAAUUGCAAAAAUAAAUCAAGACUAUUCUAUCAUCUUUAUUUUAUAUUAUAUAACAAAAAAAUUAAUUUAAAAAAUUUUAAUCCUAAAUUAUACAUAUAUUAUCAAAAAAUCAUAAUUUUAUUUUUUAUGAUUUUUUAAACUAUUAAUUUAAAUAAAAAUGUUUUUAUAAAUAAUUUGCAUAUAAGAUAAUUUUUAGGUAUUUUAUUAAAAAUAGAUAAGAACUAUAAAAAAGAAAAAAUAUAGAUAUUUGAAUAGAAGCUCACAAAUAGUUUUUGUUAGUAUUGAUAAAGUCAAAAAAAUCUUCAUUAUUCUUUAUAAAUAUUUAUUAUUUAUAGAUGCAUAUUAAAAAGUAAUGUAAUAAAAUACUUCUUAGAUUAAAACUACAAAUAAAUACUACAUUAUAAGAUUUUAUCUAUGAUUUUAUUAUAAAUUUUUGUAUAAUCAACUAUCUAUCUAAUACUUUGGAACAAUGACUGUAUAGUGGAUUGGACAAUAUUUUUAUUAAUAUAAAUAAUAUAAAAUUGGUAAAUAUUUUUACCAACUACAAGGACUUAUACAAAUAGCAAAAAAAUUAUUGAAUGUUAUUUUUUCUUCUAAUUUGACUUAUAUUGUAUUAGAUUCAAAUACAUGGAGGAAAAUUGCCAAAUAGAAAAAUUAAGAUAAAUAGAAGUAAUUACCAAUUAUUUUAGUCUAAUAAGUUUUUUCAAUAAUUUUUAAUUUAUGACUGAUACUAAUUGGUAUUAACUACAAUUAGUAUAACUACACUUGCCAAAUUUUUGUCUUGGAUUAGAUUUAAUACAAUUGUUGUUUAUGACUAAUUUAAAUAGAACUAUCUUCUUGUUAUUUUUUUAUGAACUUCUUUUAAAUUAACAAAAAGUCUAAUUAAAAAGAUUAUAAACUUUGAAUCUAAUAUAAAUUAGUGUGAUUUUUUUUCUAAUAGUUAUUAUUAAUCUAAAAGAUUUUUAAUGGUAAUAAAAUUAAAUAAAAAGUAAGCAAUCCGCUUCAAUCACAAAUCCAAUUAUCUUCUAACUACAGCAAUGUCAAUUUGCAGUAAUAUAUUAAUUAAAUCUAAUUUAAUAAAAAACAAAGACUUCAUCAUGUUGUUAAUACUUAUUAGCUGUAGUUUGGGACCUUAACAACAUCAAAACACCAAUUAGGUAAUUACCUAUCUUUCAUUUGGCUAUACAAUUCUCUCCAAUUUAUGCUCUUUGUAGACUGCUUGAAAUGAUUUACUUCCUUUUUGGUAUAACCAUGCACCUUCACUUAAAAUACUUGAAGACACUUAAUUAAAAAGAAGAUGCUUUAUUUUUCAAGUAUUCAAUCCUUCUUGGUUGAUAACAUUCCCUCGACUAAAGAAUCUUUUUCCAUUGGGAACUUUCUUACUUAAUAGUGUGGUUGGUUAUAACCACUAAUUGUUUUGUAAUAACCUAUUUGAAAACAUAUGCUUGGUUAGCAACCUAUUGGUAGACUAAAUAAAAACUAACUAUCUAUUUUUGAAUUUAAAAUAAAAAUAAAUUUUUUUUUUGACCUAUGAACUUAAAACUACAAGAUGUUUAUAAGAAUCUAACAUGAAUUUUAAGUUUUGAAGUGCAAUCACUAAAAGAUACAAUGGAAAUAUUUUUUUAAAUUUUAUUUCAAGUUCAAUUUUGGCUUUGCAACCCUUUGUCCUUCUUCCUUUAGCCCCUU